rnacentral:misc_RNA from 1 species
GAAAUGCGAUAAGUAAUGUGAAUUGCAGAAUUCAGUGAAUCAUCGAAUCUUUGAACGCACAUUGCGCCCGCCAGUAUUCUGGCGGGCAUGCCUGUUCGAGCGUCAUUUCAACCAUCAAGCCCCCGGCUUGUGUUGGGGACCUGCGGCUGCCCGCAGGCCCUGAAAAACAGUGGCGGGCUCGCUGUCACACCGAGCGUAGUAGCAUACAUUCUCGCUCAGGGCGUGCUGUGGGUCCCGGCCGUUAAACGACCUUCAUAACCCAAGGUUGACCUCGGAUCAGGUAGGAAGACCCGCUGAACUUAGGC